ensembl:lncRNA
CUCCAAGACGAGCAAUGCUGGGAAAGGGCAGGGAGAUUUCCUCAAGUUCUAGGAAUGAAGUUGAAGGCUCUGAUCUUCUGAAAAGAUUGAGUGUGCGUUGUGGGAAUGGAGCAAUUAAGAUAACAACAAGGAGGGCCAGGUAUGCCGGGAUGAGCGGUCCCUUCCUGUUAUUUACUGACCCAAAGCAGAGAGAAAACAGUGCUUCCCUAAGGGACCUUUACCCGUCCAACAGUGCAGCAAGAAGAUGCAGAUCUGCUGCUACAAGCAUGAAAGAGGGGUUUGUCACCCUUUUGUCAACGCUCUUUUCUGUACAGGCUCCUCGUGGUGAGGUCCCUGUCACAUCCCUGUGCCCUCCUGGCUUUAGCAGGACUUGCAGCAAGCAGCCAGCACUGUCCCCAGGAAGACUACAAGAAACUGAACAAGCUGGGAGAGAGGUGUCCUGAAAGCCACGCUCACAGCAUUAGGGGAGCUAUUUUUUGAAAGCCACCCUAGACCUGCAAUGGGAACUACAAAGGCAAGAAGCUCUCUGGCUUUUAGUUCAAGUUGUUUCAGAGGCUUCCUGUAUCCCUUCUCAACAGCUUUGGUGCAGCACUGUCGGCCUAUGGACCUUGGGAGUGAAGAACAACUGGAAUGAUGCUUCCCCGCCCCAAGCAGGCUCUACAGAGGGAUGAGGAAGGACCAAGCCAGCCCCAUCUGGGGCUAAGAGCACUGGGGAAUGACCUCCUCCAUGAACAAAGCAC